GAUGAACGCUGGCGGCGUGCCUAAUACAUGCAAGUCGAGCGAACGGACGAGAAGCUUGCUUCUCUGAUGUUAGCGGCGGACGGGUGAGUAACACGUGGAUAACCUACCUAUAAGACUGGGAUAACUUCGGGAAACCGGAGCUAAUACCGGAUAAUAUUUUGAACCGCAUGGUUCAAAAGUGAAAGACGGUCUUGCUGUCACUUAUAGAUGGAUCCGCGCUGCAUUAGCUAGUUGGUAAGGUAACGGCUUACCAAGGCAACGAUGCAUAGCCGACCUGAGAGGGUGAUCGGCCACACUGGAACUGAGACACGGUCCAGACUCCUACGGGAGGCAGCAGUAGGGAAUCUUCCGCAAUGGGCGAAAGCCUGACGGAGCAACGCCGCGUGAGUGAUGAAGGUCUUCGGAUCGUAAAACUCUGUUAUUAGGGAAGAACAUAUGUGUAAGUAACUGUGCACAUCUUGACGGUACCUAAUCAGAAAGCCACGGCUAACUACGUGCCAGCAGCCGCGGUAAUACGUAGGUGGCAAGCGUUAUCCGGAAUUAUUGGGCGUAAAGCGCGCGUAGGCGGUUUUUUAGUCUGAUGUGAAAGCCCACGGCUCAACCGUGGAGGGUCAUUGGAAACUGGAAAACUUGAGUGCAGAAGAGGAAAGUGGAAUUCCAUGUGUAGCGGUGAAAUGCGCAGAGAUAUGGAGGAACACCAGUGGCGAAGGCGACUUUCUGGUCUGUAACUGACGCUGAUGUGCGAAAGCGUGGGGAUCAAACAGGAUUAGAUACCCUGGUAGUCCACGCCGUAAACGAUGAGUGCUAAGUGUUAGGGGGUUUCCGCCCCUUAGUGCUGCAGCUAACGCAUUAAGCACUCCGCCUGGGGAGUACGACCGCAAGGUUGAAACUCAAAGGAAUUGACGGGGACCCGCACAAGCGGUGGAGCAUGUGGUUUAAUUCGAAGCAACGCGAAGAACCUUACCAAAUCUUGACAUCCUUUGACAACUCUAGAGAUAGAGCUUUCCCCUUCGGGGGACAAAGUGACAGGUGGUGCAUGGUUGUCGUCAGCUCGUGUCGUGAGAUGUUGGGUUAAGUCUCGCAACGAGCGCAACCCUUAAGCUUAGUUGCCAUCAUUAAGUUGGGCACUCUAAGUUGACUGCCGGUGACAAACCGGAGGAAGGUGGGGAUGACGUCAAAUCAUCAUGCCCCUUAUGAUUUGGGCUACACACGUGCUACAAUGGACAAUACAAAGGGCAGCGAAACCGCGAGGUCAAGCAAAUCCCAUAAAGUUGUUCUCAGUUCGGAUUGUAGUCUGCAACUCGACUACAUGAAGCUGGAAUCGCUAGUAAUCGUAGAUCAGCAUGCUACGGUGAAUACGUUCCCGGGUCU
rnacentral:rRNA from 1 species